rnacentral:rRNA from 1 species
AACGAACGCUGGCGGCAGGCUUAACACAUGCAAGUCGAGCGCCCCGCAAGGGGAGCGGCAGACGGGUGAGUAACACGUGGGAAUCUACCCAUCCCACGGAACAACUCCGGGAAACUGGAGCUAAUACCGUAUACGCCCUUUGGGGGAAAGAUUUAUCGGGGAUGGAUGAGCCCGCGUUGGAUUAGCUAGUUGGUGGGGUAAAGGCCUACCAAGGCGACGAUCCAUAGCUGGUCGGAGAGGAUGAUCAGCCACAUUGGGACUGAGACACGGCCCAAACUCCUACGGGGGGCAGCAGUGGGGAAUAUUGGACAAUGGGCGCAAGCCUGAUCCAGCCGUGCCGCGUGAAUGAUGGAGGCCUUAGGGUUGUAAAGUUCUUUCACCGAUGAAGAUAAUGACGGUAGUCGGAGAAGAAGCCCCGGCUAACUUCGUGCCAGCAGCCGCCGUAACAC